rnacentral:rRNA from 1 species
UGGGGAAUAUUGCACAAUGGGCGAAAGCCUGAUGCAGCGACGCCGCGUGAGGGAUGACGGCCUUCGGGUUGUAAACCUCUUUCAGUAGGGACGAAGCGCAAGUGACGGUACCUACAGAAGAAGCACCGGCCAACUACGUGCCAGCAGCCGCGGUAAUACGUAGGGUGCGAGCGUUGUCCGGAUUUACUGGGCGUAAAGAGCUCGUAGGCGGUUUGUCACGUCGUCUGUGAAAACCCGAGGCUUAACCUCGGGCCUGCAGGCGAUACGGGCAGACUUGAGUACUGUAGGGGAGACUGGAAUUCCUGGUGUAGCGGUGGAAUGCGCAGCUAUCAGGAGGAACACCGGUGGCGAAGGCGGGUCUCUGGGCAGUAACUGACGCUGAGGAGCGAAAGCGUGGGUAGCGAACAGG